rnacentral:rRNA from 1 species
UACGAAGGGGGCUAGCGUUGUUCGGAAUUACUGGGUGUAAAGCGUGCGCAGGCGGCUUCUCAAGUCAGGGGUGAAAGCCCAGAGCUCAACUCUGGAACUGCCUUUGAGACUGAGAGGCUUGAGUACGGGAGAGGUGAGUGGAAUUCCCAGUGUAGAGGUGAAAUUCGUAGAUAUUGGGAAGAACACCGGUGGCGAAGGCGGCUCACUGGCCCGAAACUGACGCUCAUGCACGACAGCGUGGGGAUCAAACAGG